CGCGCAGGAAGCCGAAACACACACACAUACUGAGUGUUUCACUGUCACACCAGGCAGACUGGGUUUUAAGGAGGACCUCCGAUCCCAGCCUUCAAAAUAAAACGCGGUUGCUGUUUCUAUCUGCAGUCCCUUGCAAAAGGCCGUUGUCCAGUUUGGAGGGUGAACAUCUAGCCAAGCCAGUUUUCUUUGUGGAUAUUUAGCUCCAUCCAUCGCCUUAUCAACUCUGAUCAUCUUCCCUGUCCCAGAUGAAUAAAAACUUAUCCAAAGCAUGAUGUCGCCACCACCAUUAAUUACUGUGGGAAUUGUGUGUUACCAGUGAUCCGCCUCACAUAUAUAUAUAUUUUCUCUUUAGGUCAAAAAGUUAAAUUUUUCUCUCAUCUGACCAGAAAGCUUUCUUCCAAAUACUUGCUGUGCUCCCUACAUGGCUUAAAGCAAACUGCAAAAGGGACUUGUAGUUGCAACAUUAGACAUGAAAACAUAAUGAAAAUUCUGUUAAAGGUUCUUUUUGUGAUGCUGAGUUUGAAACUUUAUAUUUGAGUUGAAUAUUUACACAUCUAAUUGUGCCAAAUACUUUGGUUUACACAGAAACCACAACUGUUUUUGUUUAAAUCUGUUGGAGCUUGCUGGAGAAUUACACCUAUAUUGACUAUAGAUUUUCUCUAUAGAAAUACAACUUCAGUACCCCCAUAAAAUGUGUGUGUCAUACAAUUUCUGUUAACGAUAGAUCUCUGAAUACUGUUUAGAACACUGGUGUCCAAAGUGCGGCCCGAUGGCCAUUUGCAGCACCUGAUUUUGAGUGGCCUCCGACUUUAAUUCAGGAAUGAUACAAAUUUGGCUUGUUUGCACUGGUGGUUGAUGCAGACAAAGACAUUUUAUGAAUCAGGGCAAUAUUAUUACUGACCAAUUAAAACCUUAUAAGGGAUCAUGUUAGGUACAACACACUGUAUUUGUCUUUUAAUUAUCCCACUCAUUGCACUUUUAUUUCCAAGUAGACAGGACCACUAUAGCCAGUGAGUUGAGUUUUACUCAAAAGCAGACUUCACCCAAAUCUGCUGUUAUUUUAUUCAUUAACCUUGGCUAAUUGCAACAAAUGUGACUCAAAAAAAGUGACCCAAAUCCUAUCCUGUUCUUAUUGCUGAGAAUUGACUAAACUUUAAAAAAAAAAAAAAUUUCCGUCAUGCCCAAAUUUGCAAAGUGGAUGCCUGUCUUUGAAUAGGGCAAACGUGCAAAACCCUUUUUUAGGUUUUGGAGAUACAAUGAUUUACACAUCCCUUUACUACAAAAAAAUCAGACUACUUUUUUUAUAUUUAAAAUGUUGCAUCCCUAAUUUAUUGUUGAGCUGGUAAAAAAUUCAUUAUUACAUUUUUUGUGAUAUUCUUUUUUUAUUAUAUGUUUUUUGGCCCGCAAGCACUUUUGACUUGAUUUUGGCCCUUGUGUCAAAAAGUUUGCACACCCCUGGUUAAAUGGUGCAUAUUUCUUUUUAUCUUUUAUUUUCAAAUGUCUUUGUCUGUAUUUCCUGUCCCCCUGUCUUCAUGCCUGUGACUUAAUGGCACUGAGCAGGUGGAGAGAACCACAGUCUAGAGCUGAGAGAGAGAGAGAACAGGAACUCUGUGGACUGAAAGGAGGUCGAGAAUGAUGCUUGACACUGACUAUCACAAAACCAAACCUCUUUAUAAUCAAAUCAGCAUGAAUGCCAGGUAAAACUCAGAUUUGUUCUCACUUUCCCCAGUGUUUUCUGUAGAUGACAGUAAUGGCUAUGAGCAAUAAAGAGCCAGAGAAUCACGCAAUGCAAAAAAUCACAGGAUCCAAGGAAGGCCGACGAUAAAAGCGAUAGGUCAGAGUGAGUUUUUUCUGUAAAUGUUCUAUAAAAAUGUCUUAUAGGGUCUGCAGCUCUCAUGUUUAAAAUUAAAACUCUUACUUAACUCCUCUUGGCAGUCUUUGACAUGAGCAAAAGCACUUAUGGAGUAAGCUUCUCCUCAUGAAUAACAUAGUUAUUGUUUUGCUAAUUUAAUUCACACCAUUAUGUGGCCUAUAAAUAUCAAUUACAUCUGCUCAGCAAAUACACAUUGACAUGAAUGGCUGCAGCAUGCAAUUUUGAGUCUGCUUCCCACAGCAGGACACAGAGGGUUUAAUCUAAUAGCCAGGCUACAGCUUUUUCCCCCCAUCAGACUGGAACCCACAGCUCAUUUACCUGAGGCUAUAUCUGAAUGUUAAAGACUUUUAAUCUAAUUAAGCAAUUCUGUGGAGCAAAGGUCAAAAAGCAAAUGGGUUUACAGAAAUGCUUGAACUGUGGCAUAUUGCUUUAUCCCUGCAUAACUUUCCUUCAACUGAAGCAAAAUAAUAAUUUUUGCCAUGACUUGAGCAAAAGCUGUCGGUCAGACAACUUUUAAAUGCAAUAGAAAAUGAAUGAUGAGAGAAAACCUGCAUUUAGAACAUCCCUACAGCUGUGAAAGUCAUGAAAAUAGUGACUGUAGUAAAAUGUUACAUGUUUAAUGCAACACCACAUAUAUAAAGUAAUUAAAAACUUUGGCUAUGUGACAACUGUGCAAAAAACAUUUAAGAUCAGCAGUGAUAUGGGUGAUAUGGCUCUCCCCUCAAGGCGUUCUUCUGCCAGGGAAUGACACAAAUGCUCAAAGUGGAAAGAAAAAAGCUUCAUUUUAGAUCUGGUUGAACAUCUUUCCUAUUACUCAGUUGCAUAUCCAGUCAAUGGGGAGUAACGUAAAAAAAGUAUGCCUGUCAACCAUGACUGGGUUGUGAGGAGUAAAGAAGGCAUCAAAGCUUUGAACUGGGACUGGAUGCAAUGUAUCAUUUGUACUUUAAAAUCUAAACUGGGUUGACUAAUCAAACCUAAACUGUAUUAUUCCUCACUGAAGAAAAAUUAUUUAAAAUAAAGCCUAAUAUUUUUUUAACCUUUAUUAUGAUUAUGAAAAAACAAAGGAAGGGCAUUUUUCUAUACUUUUUAGCAAACUUUAUAUUGACAAAAUCAUAAAAAACAGCAACGUCUAGAAUAUCAAACCUAGAAUAAAUUAUUGUGUAUUAAUUGAAUCAGGGAAACCUUAUAGCAGGCACCAACAAGAAACACUUACCCAGAGUGUUAUUCAUGCAAAAACUUCCAAUACAGAUCAGGAUGAAGCCAAACUGGGUAAUAAUAAAAACACUUCAGUAUUAACUCUGCCAAGCUAUUGGAGCAGGUUUAAUACAUUUAAAAUAAUUUCCACAGUAACCUAUUUUCCACUGUUUUGGUGAAGUUAAAAACAGUGUGUUGACUAAACAGGAAUUACAGGGAAAUCCUGGCUUAAUUGCCAAUCUUGUUGGAUUUGCCAAUCUUUUUGGAACAGUCCCCAAGUUGUCUUUUAUCGUCUGCAAUGUACAUCCAGACCCAAAAAGUGCCGUGAACCUACAUUUUAAAGAAAAAACAUUAGAGAGAGGCAGGUACAUCACUCAGAUACAUCACUCCACACAGCUGGAGACAGUUGGGUGGAAAACAUAUAUAGAAGAAAACGGAGGACAAUCAAAGGAUAAAGUGAAUUCAGUUUGUCUGUAAUGUGGGUGGAUGAGAGGAUUUUGUUUGCAAAUUGAUGUGUAAGUAGCACCCCUGCUCUAUUUAUUUAUUUAUUGUGUUGGCUGGUAACUUGUUGUUGCUGUUACAACUUCAGUUAUCCUCUUCCUUUCAGACUUUAAAGUGCAUAUUUUAGAAAACAUUUGUAUUCGUUGUCUUCCACUUAUCCAGGACCAGGUCGCAGGGGCAACAGUCUAAGCAGAGACACCCAGACUUUCCUCUCCCCAGACACCUUCAGCUCCUCUGGGGGAAGCCUGAGGCGUUCCUAGGUCAGCCGAGAGAACGGCGUGUCCCAAGUUGUCCCUCGUGUCUCCUCCCGGCAGUAGGUGCCUGGAACAACUCCCGGGGGAGGUUUCUUGGAGGCUUCCAUAACAGAUGCCCGAGCCACCUCAACUGACUCUUCUCGAUGUGGAGGAGCAGCAGGUCUACUAUGAGCUCCUCCCGGAUGGCCUCACUUCUCACCCUAUCUCUAAGGGUGUGCCCGGCCAACCUGGGGAGGAAGCUCAUUUCAGCUGUUUGUAUCUGGGAUCUCAUUAUUUCGAUCAUGACCCAAAGUUCAUGCUCAUAAGUGAAGGUAGGAUUGUAGACCGACCAGUAAAUUGAGAGCUUCAUCUUUCGGCUCAGCUCUCUCUUCACCACAAUGGACAGUGUCCUUAUUACUGCAGCAGCCGCACUGCCUUCACUCAUGAACAAGACGCCGAGAUACUGGAACUCCUCCACUUGAGGCAGGAGCUCCCCUCCAACCCAGAGAGCCCAAGAACUGUAGCCUCAGACUUGGAUCCCUAUUCCCACUGCUUCACAUUCUGCUGAAAACCACCCCAGUGCAUGCUCAAGGUCUGGGCUAGAGGGGACCAGCAAAUACCACCUCAUCUGCACAAAGGAGAAAUCACCAAACCAGACCCCCUCUGGCCCUUUGCUGCGCCUAGAAAUCCUGUCUAUGAAAGUUAUGAAUAGGACCGGGGACAAAGGGCAGCCCUGCAGGAGUCCAACAUGCACUGGGUAGCAAUCCGAACCAAACUCCUGCUCUGCUUGUACAGAAUCCGGAUGGCCCCUAAUAAAGGGCCCUCGACUCCGUACUCCUGGAGUAUCCCCCACAAGGCACCUCGAGGGACACAAGGCCUUCUCCAUGUCAACAAAACACAUAGGGACCCGUUGUGCAAACUUCCAUAAACCCUUGUUCACCCUGUGGAGGGUGAAGUGGUGGUCCAGUGUUCCACGGCUGGCACCAAAACUAUGCUGCUCCUCCUGAAAAUACUUAUUUGUUUUAUUCAUUAACAUGUGGAGGGCUGUUGUUUUUCUUGUAAUAUAAUUGUUUAUCAGUUAUCUUGUGUAAAGUGUAACAGAUUGUGGCAUGGAUUAUCUAAUGGAUCAGGAAUCUCUCCAUUGUAGUUUGACAAACUAGGAGCAUCCAAACUCCAUCAUGCAUAGAGACCCCACAAUACUAGAUACAGCCCUGCAAACAUCAGUCAGUCAGUCAUUUUCUACCACUUAUUCCAUAGUGGGUCACGGGGGAGCUGGUGCCUAAAGGCCCACUCGGCCUCAAUAUCUCCCACCUCACCCGGAAUGUGUUUGACGCUCUCCCGGAGGUGGGACUUGAAGUUCCCCCUCACGGGAGACUUCGCCAGGCGUUCCCAGCAGACCCUCAAGGUUCGUUUGGGUCUGCCAAGUCUGACUGGCAUCCUCCCCCACCAUUGGAGCCAACUCACCACGAGGUAGUGGUCAGUGGACAGCUCCGCUCCCCUCCCCUCCCCUCUUCACCCAAGUGUCCAAGACAUGCGGCCGCAGAUCACAUGACACAACAACAAAGUCGAUUGUCGAACUGCAGCCUAGGGUGUCCUGGUGCCAAGAGUAGAUAUGGACACCCUUAUGCUUGAACAUGGUGUUAGUUAUGGACAAUGCAUGACGAGAACAGAAGUCCAAUAACAAAACACCACUCAGGUUCAGAACAGGAGGGCGCUGUCAAUUCCACUGUCAAAUCCAACAUGAGCGUUGAAGUCCCCCAGCAGAACAAGGGAGCCCCCCGGAGGGCCGCUCUCUAACACCCCCUUCAAGGACUCCAAAAAGGAUGGGUAGUCUGAACUGCCAUUUGGUGCAUAAGCACAAACAACAGUCAGGGAGCCUGAACAGCCUGGACAGGGAGGCCACCCUCUCGUUCACCGGGGUGAACCCCAACGUACAGGCGACAAGAUGGGGGGCAAUAAGUAUGUCCACCCCAGGUUGGCACUUCUCACCAAGGGCAACUCCAGAGUGGAAGAGUGUCCAACCCCUCUCAAGGAGACUGGUUCCAGAGCCAGAGCCGUGCGUCGAGGUGAGCCCAACUAUUUCUAGCCGGAACCUCUCUACCUCGCACACCAACUCAGGCUCCUUCCCCACCAGAGAAGUGACAUUCUACGUCCCAAGAGCCAGCUUCUGCCGCCGAGGAUCAGACCGCCAAGGUCUCCGCCUUCGGCCGCCACCCAUAAAGCAUAAAGCCCCUGACAACAUAGCUCCUAGGAUCAUUGGGACACUCAAACCCCUUCACCACGGUAAGGUGGCAGCCCAGGGAGGGGUGUUUUUAUGUUUCAAAAAUAAAAGCAGAACAAAGAACAGAAAAGUAGCAUUGUAAGCCUGAAGCAGGGGUUUUGUCUCCGUCUCUGUUUAGUGUUCUGGAAACUCCUGCUGGGGCCGAGCUGACUGUACCUAUCAAUUUCUAGUAUCACAACAUUUUUGGAUCACAACACUUAAGCAUAAACAAUUAGCAUUUACAAUUUUUAAGGCAAAACAAUCUAACAAGACUCUUAAACAUCCUUGUUGUGAUUUCUUUUCUGUUUUGUUUUCAUCUUUUUCAACCUUUUUAAAAAUAAAAAGAACUGAGAAUGAAUUUUUAAAAUGCAAAACCAUAUUUUGAUGUAAGCAUUUAGAAUUUGCAAUACUUUAAACAACACAAAUUAAGCACUAAAGCAGGAGCUUAGUCGCUGUCUCCUCUUAGUGUUUUGGGUACUGCUGCUGGUAUCAACCUGACAAUAACAAUCAUUUUCUAGAACCAAAGCUGUUCUAGUUUAUAACACUUGAAAUAAACAGUUACAAUAUAUAAAAGAUAUGCAUUUAAUAGAAUGCUUAAACACCCUUUUUAUGAUUUAUUUUCUGUCUUGUUUCCUUUUUCUAACUUUUAAAAGUUAAACAAGAAAACUAACAUUUAACAUGCCAAACAACACAUCAAUGUAAUGAUUUAUAAUUUACAAUGUUUAAAGCUAUAUUAACAAAGAAAAACUCCUUUUAGGAUCAACCGGAGUAUAGCGAUCAAUAUCUAGUACCAAAACACGUUGAAAUAAACAUUUGCAAUUUACAAUAUAUAAAACAAAUGAAUCAAACAUCCUUGUUAUAAUGAGUUUUUUUUUAGUUUCUUUUGUAUUGUUUUCUUUUUUUUUGCUUUUUAACAUUUAAACAGAACACGGAAGUAACAAUAAACUGCACACAACACAUCAACAUUUUGAAUUAACAAUGUUAAAAACACAAUUGUUUAAUUGUUUUUUAUAUUUUUGUGUUUGAUUUUGAGCUUAAAUAAAAAUAACACAGAUGCAACAAUAAACUGCACAUAACAGGAAUAAACAAAAUAUUCUUGUUUUCUGAUUUUUUUUCUUUAUGAAUAUUUAACAUAACAUAAAAUAAGGUGUUCUUGCAUUUUGUGGCAGCAGGCUGAUCUCACCGGUUCUUGGAUCUUGGCUUCAGGUUGCUAAAGUUUGUUCUUCAGCUCGCUGAUUUCCUGCUGCAAAGCCUCAUUCUUUUGGCUCAGCACCUUGUUCAACCUUUGGAAAAUGCUAGAAGGUUCACAGGCUCCAAUAUUCUCCAUUGUUUUGAAUUUACAACAUUUUCAUUCAGUGCAAAUGUUCUCUCAAACAAUUCAUGAGGGAAAGUAACUGGAAUGUUGAAAGAUCUAGACUAGGGUUCUAGAAUAUGUUGCGUCAAAGACCGAUGAUGUCACAUACAUGACCCCGGCAACAGUUCCGGGUCCCAGAUCAGCCUGUGUCCUGAAUGUAACUGUGGUCGCAUGACUGCAUGGUGGCUAAAGAUGCAGAAGAAGUUAACGGGACAGGUGGUGGGAGACAAACAUUAAACAGCAUUACCAAUGAAAACAUGAAGGAUUCAUAAAAUAGACUCAAUGAAAAAAAACAAAAAACAACCAUGGCUUUCUUCAAUUUAAGGAAACACCUGACAGUAAAAGUAUCAGUUAGACAGUUAGUUAAUCACAUCACAGGUAUGGGGUCAUCUCAGCUCUAUUGGGCAGUCUUUAUUAUCUAAGCAGUUUUACUUCAUUAGC